AGGACGAACGCUGGCGGCGUGCUUAACACAUGCAAGUCGAGCGGUAAGGCCUUUCGGGGUACACGAGCGGCGAACGGGUGAGUAACACGUGGGUGAUCUGCCCUGCACUUCGGGAUAAGCCUGGGAAACUGGGUCUAAUACCGGACAUGACCUCCUAUCGCAUGGUGGGUGGUGGAAAGAUUUAUCGGUGCAGGAUGGGCCCGCGGCCUAUCAGCUUGUUGGUGGGGUAAUGGCCUACCAAGGCGACG
rnacentral:rRNA from 1 species